rnacentral:rRNA from 1 species
GGCUGAUAUUAGCUGGCUGCCACUGAAUUUUUAAAUGGCCGCAGUAAUUUGACUGUGCAAAGGUAGCAUAAUCAUUAGUUUUUUAAUUAAAAGCUUGUAUGAAAGGUUGGACGAGGUAAAAUCUGUCUCUAUAUAAUUUAGUUUAGAAUUUAAUUUUUAAGUUAAAAAGCUUAAAUAUAAUUAAAAGACGAGAAGACCCUAUAGAGCUUUAUAUUUAUAUUAAUUAAAUUAUUUAUGAUUUUUUAAGAUUUAAUUAUUAUAAUUAUUUUAUUGGGGUAAUAGGAAGAUUAAAAUAAUUCUUUUUUUAUUUAUACAUUUAUUUAUGAUUUUAAUGAUCCAUUUUUAUUGAUUAUAAGAUUAAGUUACCUUAGGGAUAACAGCGUAAUUUUUUUAGAGAGUUCAUAUCGAUAAAAAAGUUUGCGACCUCGAUGUUGGAUUAAAGAUUAGUUUAGGUGUAGAAGUUUAAAUUUUUGGUCUGUUCGACCAUUAAAUCUUUACGUGAUCUGAGUUCAGACCGGA